rnacentral:misc_RNA from 1 species
GAAAUGCGAUAGGUAAUGUGAAUUGCAGAAUUCAGUGAAUCAUCGAAUCUUUGAACGCACAUUGCGCCCCUUGGUAUUCCAUGGGGCAUGCCUGUUCGAGCGUCAUUUGUACCCUCAAGCUCUGCUUGGUGUUGGGUGUUUGUCCCCGUCUCCGCGCGUGGACUCGCCCCAAAGUGAUUGGCAGCCGGCGUACUGGUCCCGGAGCGCAGCACAUGUCGCGCAAACGAGUGCCUUGGUACGGCGGCGUCCAUAAGCCCCUCUCUCACGCUCUUGACCUCGGAUCAGGUAGGGAUACCCGCUGAACUUAAGC